AGAAGCUUGCUUCUCUGAUGUUAGCGGCGGACGGGUGAGUAACACGUGGGUAACCUACCUAUAAGACUGGGAUAACUCCGGGAAACCGGGGCUAAUACCUGAUAAUAUUUUGAACCGCAUGGUUCGAUAGUGAAAGGCGGCUUCGGCUGUCACUUAUAGAUGGACCCGCGCCGUAUUAGCUAGUUGGUAAGGUAAUGGCUUACCAAGGCGACGAUACGUAGCCGACCUGACAGGGUGAUCGGCCACCCUGGAACUGAGACACGGUCCAGACUCCUACGGGAGGCAGCAGUAGGGAAUCUUCCGCAAUGGGCGAAAGCCUGACGGAGCAACGCCGCGUGAGUGAUGAAGGUUUUCGGAUCGUAAAACUCUGUUGUUAGGGAAGAACAAAUUUGUUAGUAACUGAACAAGUCUUGACGGUACCUAACCAGAAAGCCACGGCUAACUACGUGCC
rnacentral:rRNA from 1 species